AGGGGGCAAGCGUUAUCCGGAUUUACUGGGUGUAAAGGGAGCGCAGGCGGUAUGGCAAGUCAGAUGUGAAAACCCAGGGCUCAACCCUGGGACUGCAUUUGAAACUGCCAUACUGGAGUGCCGGAGAGGUAAGUGGAAUUCCUAGUGUAGCGGUGAAAUGCGUAGAUAUUAGGAGGAACACCAGUGGCGAAGGCGGCUUACUGGACGGUAACUGACGCUGAGGCUCGAAAGCGUGGGGAGCAAACAGGAUUAGAUACCCUGGUAGUCCACGCUGUAAACGAUGAAUACUAGGUGUCGGGGUACAUAAGUACCUCGGUGCCGCAGCUAACGCAAUAAGUAUUCCACCUGGGGAGUACGUUCGCAAGAAUG
rnacentral:rRNA from 2 species